rnacentral:rRNA from 1 species
GUGUCAGCCGCCGCGGUAAUACGGAGGGAGCUAGCGUUGUUCGGAAUUACUGGGCGUAAAGCGCGCGUAGGCGGCUUUGUAAGUUAGAGGUGAAAGCCCGGAGCUCAACUCCGGAACUGCCUUUAAAACUGCAUCGCUUGAAUCCAGGAGAGGUGAGUGGAAUUCCGAGUGUAGAGGUGAAAUUCGUAGAUAUUCGGAAGAACACCAGUGGCGAAGGCGGCUCACUGGACUGGUAUUGACGCUGAGGUGCGAAAGCGUGGGGAGCAAACAGGAUUAGAUACCCCCGUAGUCC